rnacentral:rRNA from 1 species
GACGAACGCUGGCGGCGUGCUUAACACAUGCAAGUCGAGCGGAAAGGCCCGGCUUUUGUGGGGUGCUCGAGUGGCGAGCAGGGGAGUGACACGUGAGUAACAUGUCCCUGACAGUGGGGUAACAUCUGGAGAAUCGGGCGCAUACACGAUAGGAGAUCCUGCAGCAUGGGGGGGAUUGGUGAGAUUCGGCGGUUCGGGAUGGACUCGCGGCUUAGCAGCUUGUUGGUGGGGUAGUGUCGUAACAAGGCUUUGACGGGUAGCCGGAUUGAGAGGGUGACCGGCCCCAUUGGGCCUGGGGAACCGCCCAGAGUGCUACGUGAGCAAGCGGUGGGGAACUUUGCACAAUGGGCCGAAGCCGGAUGGAGGAACUCCGCGUGCUGGAUGACGGCCUUUGGGUUGUAAACCGCUUUCGCCUGGGACGAAGCUUGAGUGACGGUAAUUAGUAAAGAAGCACCGGCUAACUACGUG